UGCAUAUCAAUAAGCGGAGGAAAAGAAACCAACAGGGAUUGCCCUAGUAACGGCGAGUGAAGCGGCAACAGCUCAAAUUUGAAAUCUGGCCCUCUCAGGGUCCGAGUUGUAAUUUGCAGAGGGUGCUUUGGCGAUGGCUGUGGUCUAAGUUCCUUGGAACAGGACGUCACAGAGGGUGAGAAUCCCGUACGUGGCCGCCAGCCUCCGCCGUGUAAAGCCCCUUCGACGAGUCGAGUUGUUUGGGAAUGCAGCUCUAAAUGGGAGGUAAAUUCCUUCUAAAGCUAAAUACUGGCCAGAGACCGAUAGCGCACAAGUAGAGUGAUCGAAAGAUGAAAAGCACUUUGGAAAGAGAGUCAAAAAGCACGUGAAAUUGUUGAAAGGGAAGCGCUUGCAGCCAGACAUGCCUGUAGUUGCUCACCGGGGCUCUUGCCCUGGGCACUCUUCUACGGGCAGGCCAGCAUCAGUCCGGGCGGUUGGAUAAAUGCCUGCUACAUGUACCUCUCUUCGGGGAGGACUUAUAGGGUAGG
rnacentral:rRNA from 1 species